rnacentral:misc_RNA from 1 species
CCGAGUUUACAACUCCCAGACCCCUGUGAACAUACCACUUGUUGCCUCGGCGGAUCAGCCCGCUCCCGGUAAAACGGGACGGCCCGCCAGAGGACCCCUAAACUCUGUUUCUAUAUGUAACUUCUGAGUAAAACCAUAAAUAAAUCA